rnacentral:lncRNA from 1 species
UCAUCAUAUAGAUGACAAUGAGGACUUCCUCAUUGGUGGAUCUGCCCUUACCUCUCCUCCGGGCAUGCUCACUAAUAACUAGGUUCUAAGCUAAAUGUGACCUGACUAGGGAAUGCUGAGUCUGCCAAGGAAGGAGAGGAGUUACAUGCUGAAGGAGCUGCAAUACCUGGAUUACAUUUACCAGCAGGAAUCAGGAGUGUUUCCGGGAGAAGAUCUUGAGGGUGCCAUAUCCAGGGGAGUAGAGUGUAAUAUAAAGCUGCAUAAUAGCUUGCCAGUAUGUGGAAAAUUUCCCGUAACACUGGAUUUAAUAUCGCAGGGGCCACAGGAGCCAGAUUAUAUUAAUCUGCUGCUAAGAAGACCCCUGGAAUAAAAAAGGAAUGACCCACCUUAAAAGAAGUAUGGCAUGGAAGAAGGAAUCAAAAAGCACAGCAAACUGAGCCAGCUGGAAAGAAUCUACAAUAUAAGACUAGAAAACCAACUGGCUAACAAUGUGUCCUGGAAAAGUGUUAUGAACUGAAUUGUGCCUGCCCCCCAGACUCAUUUGUUGAAGCCCUGACCCCCAGUGUGACUGUAUUUGGAGAUAGGAAAUUUAAGGAGGGAAUUAAGGUCAAAUGAGGUCAUAAUGUGGGGCCCUAAUCUAAUAAAACUGGUGCCCUUAUAAGAGGAAGAGACACCAGAGAUCUGUCUCUCUCUGCACGCAUGCACGGAAGAAAGACCAUAUGAGGACACAGCAAGGAGGCAGCAAUUUGCAAGCCAGGGGGAGAAGCCUCACUAGAAACCCAACCUCUUGGCAUGUUUAUUGGAUUUCCAACCUCCAGAACUGUGAGAAAAUAAAUUUCUGUUGCUUUAGCCACCCAAUCUGUAGUAUUUUGCAUGGCAGAACUAGCAGACAAAUACAGAGGGCCGGCCUGGUGCAGUGGCUCACGCCUGUAAUCCCAGCACUUUGGGAGGCUGAGGUGGGCAGAUCACCUGAGGUGAGGAGUUCGAGACCAGCCUGGCCAACAUGGUGAAAUCCUGUCUCUACUAAAAAUACAAAAAUUAGCCAGGUGUGGUGGCAGGUG